GCGGGUGGUUCGCCGCCCGUGACUCUGCGAGAAGUCCAUUGAACCUUAUCAUUUAGAGGAAGGAGAAGUCGUAACAAGGUUUCCGUAGGUGAACCUGCGGAAGGAUCAUUGUCGAGAUCAGGAGAUAUUCAGCAAUUUGGAGAACUCGUGAAAUAAGUGGUAGCAUUUGCUGUCAUGGAGAAACCAUCCCAGUUGUUGCCUAGUCUCCUCUGGGGAUGACACGAUGAAGUUCGAAUGAAAACUCGAUCCAGCGCAGUUCCGCGCCAAGGGAAUGUAGAAAAUGAGCCCUAGAAUGGGUUUCGUAGCGUGGAGUGCCAUUGCACACCAUGUUGGAUUAACACGACUCUCGACAAUGGAUAUCUYGGCUCUCGCAUCGAUGAAGAACGCAGCGAAAUGCGAUAUGUGGUGCGAAUUGCAGAAUCCCGUGAAUCAUCGAGUCUUUGAACGCAAGUUGCGCCCGAGGUCAACUGGCCAAGGGCACGUCUGCCUGGGCGUCAAGCGCUUUGUCGCUCUAUGCCAACGCAUCAUCCCACCUGUGGGUGUGGGUGGGACGUGCAGUGCUCGGAUGUGCAGAGUGGCUCGCCGUGUUGAUUGGCUUACGGCGGGCUGAAGAUUGGGUUGUCGUCUCAUUGGCCACGGUCGAUAAAGUGGUGGAUAAAAGCGGGGAGCRCAGGCUUGAGUUGUUUCAUGAUGGCCCUGAGAAAGCAUACAGAUAUUGAUGAUCCCAACCCCAUGUGUCGAUCUAUAGUGGCGGCUUAGAAUGCGACCUCAGGAUGGGCGAGGCCACCCGCCGAGUUUAAGCAUAUCAAUAAGCGGAGGAGAAGAAA
rnacentral:sRNA from 1 species